AGGAUGCUCCCUCCGUUCGGAAUUACUUGUCGCAAAAAUGGAUGUAUCUAGACGUAUUUUAGUUCUAGAUACAUCCAUUUCCGAGACAAGUAAUUCCGAACGGAGGGAGUAACAU
rfam:Triticum aestivum genome assembly, contig: Triticum_aestivum_CS42_TGACv1_scaffold_499717_6BL